rnacentral:rRNA from 1 species
UACAGAGGGUGCAGGCGUUGUUCGGAAUUAUUGGGCGUAAAGGGAGUGUAGGCGGUCUUUUAAGUCUUCUGUGAAAUCUACGGGCUUAGCCUGUAACGUGCAGAGGAAACUGGAAGGCUUGAGUGUCGGAGAGGAUAGGGGAAUACCCAGUGUAGAGGUGAAAUUCGUAGAGAUUGGGUGGAACACCAGUGGCGAAGGCGCCUAUCUGGCUGACAACUGACGCUGAGACUCGAAAGCAUGGGGAGCAAACAGG